GACGAACGCUGGCGGCGUGCCUAAUACAUGCAAGUAGAACGCUGAAGCGAGGAGCUUGCUCUUCUUGGAUGAGUUGCGAACGGGUGAGUAACGCGUAGGUAACCUGCCUUGUAGCGGGGGAUAACUAUUGGAAACGAUAGCUAAUACCGCAUAACAAUGGAUGACACAUGUCAUUUAGUUGAAAGGGGCAAUUGCUCCACUACAAGAUGGACCUUCGUUGUAUUAGCUAGUAGGUGAGGUAAUGGCUCACCUAGGCGACGAUACAUAGCCGACCUGAGAGGGUGAUCGGCCACACUGGGACGGAGACCCGGCCCAGACUCCCACGGGAGGCAGCAGUAGGGAAUCUUCGGCAAUGGGGGCAACCCUGACCGAGCAACGCCGCGUGAGUGAAGAAGGGUUUCGGAUCGUAAAGCUCUGUUGUAAGUCAAGAACGGGUGUGAGAGUGGAAAGUUCACACUGUGACGGUAGCUUACCAGAAAGGGACGGCUAACUACGUG
rnacentral:rRNA from 1 species